AGCUGGUUCUCUCCGAAAUCUAUUUAGGUAGAGCGUCGCGUAUUACUUCUGGGGGUAGAGCACUGUUAUGGCUAGCGGGUCGUCAAGGCUUAGUAAACCAUUGCAAACUCCGAAUACCAGAAAGUAUGAGCGCGGCAGACACACUGCGGGUGCUAACGUCCGUAGUGGAAAGGGAAACAACCCAGACCGUCAGCUAAGGUCCCAAAAUUAUAGUUAAGUGGGAAACGAUGUGAAAAGGCCCAGACAGCCAGGAGGUUGGCUUAGAAGCAGCCAUUCCUUUAAAGAGUGCGUAAUAGCUCACUGGUCGAGUCGGUUUGCGCGGAAGAUUUAACGGGGCUAAACUAUAUACCGAAGCUGCGGAUCGCAAUUUAUUGCGAUGGUAGGAGAGCGUUCUGUAAGCCGUUGAAGGUGAACUGUGAGGUUUGCUGGAGGUAUCAGAAGUGCGAAUGCUGACAUGAGUAACGAUAAAGGGGGUGAAAAACCCCCUCGCCAGAAGUCCAAGGUUUCCUACGCAACGUUAAUCGGCGUAGGGUUAGUCGGCCCCUAAGGCGAGGCAGAAAUGCGUAGUCGAUGGGAAACGGGUUAAUAUUCCCGUACUUCAUAUAACUGCGAUGGGAAGACGGAGUAGGUUAGCUCAGCAAGGCGAUGGUUGUCCUUGUUCAAGCGUGUAGAAAUGGUUCUUAGGAAAAUCCGGGAACCUCUAUUUCAAGGCGUGAUAACGAGCCCUCUUUUGGGCGAAGUGAGUGAGACCAUGCUUCCAGGAAAAUCCUCUAAGCUUCAGGUUAUAUGAAACCGUACCCCAAACCGACACAGGUGGACGAGAUGAGAAUUCUAAGGCGCUUGAGAGAACUCGGGUGAAGGAACUAGGCAAAAUGACACCGUAACUUCGGGAGAAGGUGUGCUCUUGUUAUGUGAUAUCACUUGCUGAUUGAGCAAAGAAGAGCUGAAAAAACUAGGUGGCUGCGACUGUUUAUUAAAAACACAGCACUCUGCAAACACGUAAGUGGACGUAUAGGGUGUGACUCCUGCCCGGUGCUUGAAGGUUAAUUGAUGAGGUUAGCGCUUGCGCGAAGCUUUUGAUCGAAGCCCAAGUAAACGGCGGCCGUAACUAUAACGGUCCUAAGGUAGCGAAAUUCCUUGUCGGGUAAGUUCCGACCUGCACGAAUGGAGUAACGACGGCCACACUGUCUCCACCCGAGACUCAGUGAAAUUGAAAUUGCUGUUAAGAUGCAGUAUACCCGCGGCCAGACGGAAAGACCCCGUGCACCUUUACUACAGCUUUGCAUUGAACUCUGAUCCUACUUGUGUAGGAUAGGUGGGAGGCUUUGAAGCUUUAACGCUAGUUAGAGUGGAGCCACCCUUGAAAUACCACCCUGGUAUGGUUGGGGUUCUAACCUUGGUCCGUAAUCCGGAUCGGGGACAAUGCAUGGUGGGUAGUUUGACUGGGGCGGUCUCCUCCUAAAGAGUAACGGAGGAGCGCAAAGGUAUCCUCAGCACGGUCGGACAUC
rnacentral:rRNA from 1 species